GCAGUUUGAUCUCAGACUGCUGUGCUAGCAAUCAGCGAGACUCCGUGGGCGUAGGACCCUCGGCGCCAGGUGCAGGAUAUAAUCUCGUGGUGCGCCGUUUUUUAAGCCCGUCGGAAAAGCGCAGUAUUUGGGUGGGAGUGACCCGAUUUUCCAGGUGCCGUCUGUCACCCCUUUCUUUGACUAGGAAAGGGAACUCUCUGAACCCUUGCACUUCCUGAGUGAGGCAAUGCCUCGCCCUGCUUCAGCUCGCGCACGGUGCACGCACCCACUGACCUGCGCCCACUGUCUGGCACACCCUAGUGAGAUGAACCGGGUACCUCAGAUGGAAAUGCAGAAAUCACCCGUCUUCUGCAUCUCUCACGCUGAGAGCUGUAGACCGCAGCUGUUCCUAUUCGGCCAUCUUGGUUCCUCCUGACUUCAUUUCUUCUUUGCCUUCUUCCAUGAUUGUGAGGCGUCUCCAGCCAUGUGGAACUUUUUGAUAGCAGCAGGGGCCCAUCUGGAGCAGCAACUUCCAUGAUGCCAGCUGCAACAGAGGAGGCACAGCUGGGGCUGAGCACUACAUGGAGCUGGCCCACCCAUGGCUGCCUAUGGACCAAUCAGCACAUAUUUCCACCUGUCUGAAGCCCAUAAAAACCCUAGACUCAGCCAGACUUGGAGAGAGGAUGGGAUGAUGACCAGCCAUGGAGAGCAGUUACCCACUCCAGAGUCUCCUCUCUGCUGAGAGCUGAGCAGACAUCAGGAUUGCCACUGGCAGUGAGGAGCUACCUACUCCAGGGUCUCCUCUCUACUGAGAGCUGAACACCCAACAGAAUGGCCUACCUGCAGAGAACUACUCACUCCCAGGUCUCCUCUCUACUGAGAGCUGACACUAAUAGGGACACUCUGCCUGUGGAGAGGAGCUACCCAAUGCAGGUCUCCACUGAGCUGUUCUGUCACUCAAUAAAACUCCUCUUUGCCUUGCUCACCCUCCACUUGUUCUCAAACCUCAUUCUUCCUGGAUGCAGGAUAAGAAUUUGGGAUCUGCUGAAUGACAGUGCUAAAAGAGCUGUAACACAGACAGGGCUGAAACAUGCCCCUUGCUUGCCACAUUGUAGGUGACAAGAAGAAGAGAAGAAAGAAGGAGAGAAGAGCUGCAACUGUUCAGGGAACCCAGACUUAGGAGCUCUCUGAGCCAAGGCUGUAACACCUCUUUGGGGUUCUGAGGUUUCUGGCAUCUUCAAGCAACUAUAUUCCCCAGUGCCAGCCAUGGAAGCUGCUUGUGGUAUGCCUGGUCCAGCUGCAGCCUUACAGAGAGCCAGCACCUGCCCCAUCACAGCCAGAGUGCCUGGCUGUGUGCAGUGGCCAGACCCCACGUUUUCUCACUCACACACCACUCACUGCUCUGCUCACCCUUGGCAGGGUUGGGAUCCAGGCCAAUAGUGUAAGCCAAGUGCAACCUGCCAGGCCAAGUGGGCCCGGAGGGCCUGAGCAAAACUCAGGCAAAGGCACCACUGGCCACAGAGGUUUCUGACUGGUGAAACGACACCCCAAGGAUCCCGUAACAAUUUUGCCACAUAUGUAUACACCCUCUAAAAAUAUUGCUUAGUGUUUUAUAUAUUUACCCUGUUUUCUUUUUGAUAGAAUUUGGUAAUUUUCAUAUUUUUAUAACUUUGAGUAAUUUUCAUAUUUUUAUAACAACGAUUUUAUGUACGUGGACUGGAUGCAGCAGCUCACGCCUGUAAUCCUAGCACUUCAGGAGGCCAAGGCAGGAGGAUCACUUGAAGCCAGGAAUUCAAGCCAGCCUAAGCAACAUAACUGGAGCCCAUCUCUACAACAAAAAAUUUCAAAAUCAGCCAGCCCUGAUGGCAAGUGCUUGUAUUCCCAGCUCCUCAAGAGGUUGAGGUGGGAGGAUUGCUUAAGCCUAAAACUUUGAGGUUGUAGUGAGGCAUGCUAGCACCAGUGCACUCCAACCUAGGCAACAGAACAAGAUCCUGUCUCUUACAAAAAAUAAAAAAAUGUGUACAUGAUUCCCAUGUAUAUGUGAAAACAUUUAUCUAGGAAUGGAGAUGCUCCCAGACUAUGCACAUUUUAAACUCCUAGAAAAUGCCCCAAAACUAUCUUCCAAAUGAUGCAUUUAUUCUCUCCCUCGCAGUCUAUAAAAGUUGUCAUUGCAUCACAUUCUCACUAACCAUUGAUACUGUCAGAUAUUUUAAAAUGUUUGCCAUUCUGGAUAUAAAAUGACACCUCAACUGGAUUUCCGGAUUGCUAAUGAGGUGAGCAUCUUUUCCAUUGUUGGUUGAUCUUCUGGGAGUUUCUUUUACGAAGUGGCUAUUCCAGUCUUUCCUCUUUUCUCUACUUGCCUAUUUGCCUCUUUAAAAGUCAAUUUGUAGAAAUUCUUUAUGCAUUUUGAGCACUAAUCCUUUGGCAAAUAGAGAUAUUGCAGAUACUGUCAACCAUUUUGUAGUUUGUCUUUUCACUUUCUGUUUGCUGUUUUUCAUAGUAAAAUUCUCAGUUUUAAUAUUGUUGAAUUUAUAAAUAUUUUACUUUUUAGUCUGUGUUCUAUAUGUCAUAUUUAUGAAAUAAUUUCCUGAGUCAAAGGUACAAAGAUAUUCACUAAUACUGUCUCCUCCUUCUUCUUCUUCUCCUUCUCCUUCGCCUUCCCAUUCUCCUUCCCCUUCCCCUUCUCCUUUGUCUUCUUCUUUUUUUUUCAAAUAAGGUCUUGCUCUGUCAUCCAGGCUGGAAUGCAAUAGUGUGAUCUUGGCUCACUGCAACCUCCAUCUCCCAGGCUCAAGUGAUCCUUCUGAUUCAGUCUCCUGAGUAGCUGGGAUUACAGGAAUACACCACUGCACCCAGCUAGUUUUUGUAUUUUUUGUAGAGAUAGGGUUACCAUGUCAGCCAGGCUGAUCUCACUUGAACUCCUGGGCUCACGUGAUCCUUCUGCUUUAGUCUCCCAAAGUGCUGGGAUUACAAGUGUUAGCCACCAUGCCUGACCCACUAAUACUGUCUUCUAAAAGUCUUGAAGGUUUAUCAUUUACAUAUGUUCAGAAUCCAUCUAGAAUUUAUUUAUGGCAUAAGUUAGGGAGUCUACUUAGUUUUUGUUGUCAUAUGAAUAACCAACUGGACUUGUUUCAUGUAUUGAACGCUUUCCCCAGCUAUCUGUUAUUUAACCUUUGUUACAUGUAAAGUUCCCAUAUAUGCAUGAGUUAGUCCGUUGAAGUCUCUGUUCUGUGCCAUUGGUCGGCUUGUUUAUCCUUGCACUAUAUCAUACUUUUAAAAUUACAAUUGCUUUAUUAUAAGUCAUGAUAACUAUUAGUUCUUCUUGAGUACUGUCUUGACUGUAUUUGCCAUUUUGCUUUUCCAUACAUACUUUUUAAAACCAACUUGGAAUUUUAAUCAAAUUUAAGUUAAAUAUCUUGAUUAUUUGGGGGGAAUUGAUAUCUUCCUAAUAUUGAGUGUUCCUACCCAUAAAUAUGCUUUGUCUCUCUGUUAACUUUUUAAAAACUGUCUUAUAUUAAAGCUUAUAAUUUUCUCAAUAAUAGUCUUGUAUAUAUUUUGUUAGAUUUAUUCCUAGGUAACUAUAUAUUAUUGACAAUAAUGUCUUCUUUAAAUUUUUAUUCUCCUAUUCAACUAAUAACCAGAUCAAAUUGCAGCUAGAUAGGAGGAAUAAGUUUUAGUGUUUAAUAUCAUUGUAGGAUGACUAUAGUUAGCAAUAUUAUAUUAUAUUAUAUUAUAUUAUAUUAUAUUAUAUUAUAUUAUAUUAUAUUAUAUUUCAAUAGCCAGAAGGAAAAUAUUGAAUGUUCCCAAUACAAAAAAAAAAAAUAAAUGUUUGAGAUGAU
rnacentral:lncRNA from 10 species